AUGGGUAUUUUUAAGUUCCCGGCUUCCCUUUGUGAGGAGUUAACACAUAUUAUCAGGAAUUUUUGGUGGGGAGAUGAGGAAGAUCGAAGAAAAACACAUUGGUUAGCUUGGGACAAAUUAACUAGGUCUAAAGGUAAGGGAGGUAUGGGAUUCCGGGAUCUCAGAUUAUUUAACCAAGCCCUCUUAGCCAAACAAGCGUGGAGGUUAUUGGUUCAUCCGGAUUCGUUGUGUGCUAAGCUGAUGAAGGCAAAGUAUUACCCUCAUGGACAUAUUCUUGAUACAGUGUUUCCUUAGUCUGCAUCAGUGACUUGGCAGGGUAUUAUGCAUGGUCUGGAAUUGCUUAAGAAUAGUGUCAUUUGGCGGGUGGGUGAUGGAUCUAGCAUUAAUAUUUGGAGGUAUAAUUGGUUACCCAGGAACACUGGACUUAAAAUUUCAGCUAAAGGCAUAAUACUAGAUUGA
rnacentral:rRNA from 1 species